GCGCGUGUGGCGAAAUCGGUAUACGCGCCAACUUGCCCAAGGGCCUUAGAUCACGGGCCUUUGGGAAGUUGGUGGGGUGUGAGCCCCAUAGGGGUUCGAUUCCCCUCGCGCGCACCA
rnacentral:tRNA from 1 species